UACGAAGGGGGCUAGCGUUGCUCGGAAUUACUGGGCGUAAAGGGAGCGUAGGCGGGUCGUCAAGUUGGGGGUGAAAGCCCAGGGCUCAACCUUGGAAUUGCCUUCAAAACUGACGAUCUAGAGUAUGGAAGAGGUACGUGGAACUCCGAGUGUAGAGGUGAAAUUCGUAGAUAUUCGGAAGAACACCAGUGGCGAAGGCGACUUACUGGUCCAUGACUGACGCUGAGGCUCGAAAGCGUGGGGAGCAAACAGG
rnacentral:rRNA from 1 species